AUUGAACGCUGGCGGCAGGCCUAACACAUGCAAGUCGAACGAGUGGCGGACGGGUGAGUAAUGUCUGGGAAACUGCCUGAUGGAGGGGGAUAACUACUGGAAACGGUAGCUAAUACCGCAUACUAGUAGAUGGACCUGCGUUGUAUGAGCUAGUAGGUAGGGUAAUGGCCUACCUAGGCGACGAUACAUAGCCGACCUGAGAGGGUGAUGAGUAAGACGGGAACUGAGACACGGCUGAAAGUCUACCGGGAGGCAGCAGUGGGGAAUAUUGGACAAUGGGCGAAAGCCUGAUCCAGAAAUGCGGCGUGUGUGAAGAAGGUCUUCGGAUUGUAAAGCACGUUAAGUGGGGAGGCGUUACCAACAGAAUAAGCACCGGCUAACUUCGUGCCAGCAGCCGCGGUAAUUC
rnacentral:rRNA from 1 species